GAUGAACGCUGGCGGCGUGCUUAAUACAUGCAAGUCGAACGGAGACUGUAGCAAUACUGUCUUAGUGGCGAACGGGUGAGUAACGCGUUGGUGACCUGCCCCGAAGAGGGGGAUAACAGUCCGAAAGGAUUGCUAAUACCCCAUGUGGUCGUUUGGAUUAGAUGCCUUACGACUAAACGGAUUUAUUCGCUUCGGGAGGGGCCUGCGUCCCAUCAGCUAGUUGGUAGGGUAAUAGCCUACCAAGGCGAUGACGGGUAGGGGACCUGAGAGGGUGGCCCCCCACAAUGGAACUGAAACACGGUCCAUACACCUACGGGUGGCAGCAGUAGGGAAUAUUGGUAAUCUGGGAAACCGGGAACCAGCAACGCCGCGUGCGCGAUGAAGGCCUUGGGUUGUAAAGCGCUUUUUAAAGGGAUGAGGAAGGACAGUACCUUUAGAAUAAGCCUCGGCUAACUACGUG
rnacentral:rRNA from 1 species